UUUGAGUGGAACCUGAAGGAGUAGCUGCAAAAUAGAACAAAGUAUUAUGCCUCAAGUGAUUAUCGGAGAGUCUGUGGAAAGGUGACAGGAGAAGAACAAAGGUAAAGGACAGCAGUGGUGGAGACUCACUUGCCAGUUUGAUAGCUGGCUGGUUCUGGAAGAGAUGGCAUCCAUGGAAGAUGAGCGACUAUGGAGAAUAGAGGCACAAAAAGUCCAGGAGUCACUGGUGGGAAGGCUAGAUAGGCAAGCAGACAGAUAAUAUCUAUGCAUUGCCUCUACUAAGAGGUCUAGAUUCCUAAACUAGAAUUCAAUUUUUGAUGAUAGGAUACUGGACAGAGGAAAGAUCAUAGCAUGAAGUGUACUGUGUUUAGAGUUGGAAUUUUGUUUUACUUAAAGAGGAAAAAAAUAAACUGAAAUUCCUCUGGAA